CGGCUGUUCCAUACUGUGUCAUGUGUCUCCAACAGUCUGGCCCUGGUGGUAGGAGGACGAACAUCCCCAUCAAGUGCAGGCUUGGGAAUGCUGUGGCUGAAGUUCCAUGAAACCUGUAAUGCCUUGGACCCAGGUGACAUUACAGUGAAACUUGUAAGUCUGCAGCCUGCUGCUGAGUCAGCUGCUUUGCGUUGGAGGCACAGCACAACUGAAGUGAUGUUUAAAGGCAAGAAGUACCUGUUUGUGUAUGGUGGCCGCUCUGCUCUGGAGCCUGUACUGGGGGACUGGUAUUUCUUGCACACUCAGGAGCUUUCCUGCACUGGGAUUCCUGUGGAGGGUCCAAUACCAGAAAGCCGUCACUCUCACUCUGCCUGUAGCUGGAAAGGAGGAGUGGUAAUUGCAGGAGGUCUGGGAGCAGCUGAGCAGCCAUUAGGUUCAGUUUUCCUUCUGAGGGAGCUUGAACAUGGCUUUCAAUGGCAGACAGUUGAGACAUACCCCCCUCUCAUACCAAGGUAUUCACAUACUGCACAUGUGCAUGACGGAAAACUGCUGCUUGUUGGUGGAGUGUGGUUUCACUCAUCCUCUGUGCCAGGCAUCACUGUCAUUGACUUAAUGAGUGGUCUCUGCUUGGACUAUAUGAUUAAUGUGGAGCAUCUGGAGUGGCCAUUAAUGCUACAUAAUCAUAGUAGUGUCUUUCUGCCAGAUGAGAAGGAGCUGUUGAUUAUUGGUGGUGGGGGGAACUGCUUCUCCUUUGGGACACACCUGAACCCAGAGCCUGUCUCAUUGAGCCUCAGCAACAUCCUGACAACCACUGAUGGGGACCAGAUAGGACUGAACCAUGCUGGUGCACUGUGGUGAGACAUCUGUUCACUUGUAUGUCCAAGAGCAGCAAAAUGUUUCCACAAGGGUUUUGUAUCCCGACUGCAUUUGUAAAAGUGUGGGCUUAGGAAGGGCAGGUAUGACAAGGAGUUUCAUACCUGGUCUGUCUUGGUUUUGUACUGCUCUUUAUGUUGCUGUAAAUAAAGUAUCUCAAAGGUAGCUCUGUAGUGAUAGCAGUAAAGGUGAAGUGAGGAGCAGUGCUGUGUUCAAAAGGGACGUGACUGCACAGUGCUGAUUUGGAGGUACAGUGAAGUCACUGAGUCACAAAGCCCUUAGAAAUGUUCAGUCAAUCAUAACCAAAUAAGUGAAAGGAAGUGUAGCACGUGUCAUACCUGAAAGUUUCAAAAGUUCAUGUCCCAUCUAGAUAUGACAAACUCCUGCUCCUCUGAUUCUUGUUGCCAGGACUCUGCUAGCUGCAGCCUUGCUUGUUUCCUGGGAAGGUCAACAGCAUCAGUGAAAGAGGGGCAGGGAGAUGCUGCAUAAAAUCAUUACUUGGUCUCAUUGCUAACAUUUGAACUUUCCUACGUCUGGAAAGCUGCCAUGGUGAGGACACUGUGCAUGGAACACCAUUUGAGCACAGUGUUAAAACUAGGAUGAUCUUGAGAAGGCACAUACACUUUUGGCUGUGUUUUAUGCAGGAUCACCAGAUAACCUCAAGGAGGUUAAACCAGAAAGCUGCAGGCAAAUGGUGUUCGACUUCCCGUUGCUGAUAGGGUGCAGGAGGCCUGGGCAGUUGGCAGUGUAACUCUUUGACACAGAGGUCUCUAAGGAGAGCCUGGGAACAAGAAGCUGUUGGACAUCUUGCUGAGAUAAAACAUUAGUGGUAAAGAUGAUGGACCCCUGCACAUGGAGAUGAAACAGUCUGGUUGGCAAGAGCCACGGUGGCUUCUGGGAAAAGAAGAAAUCAUCUUGCUUGGCUGCAGCUCUACCAUGUCUCUGCAGGCAGGUGGAUAAAGGGGAUGUAGUGAACAUAAUAGAUGUUGUGGUGCCCCACACCAAACAGUGAGGAAAUAGUAUUACUGCAGGAAGAGGAAAGCUGCUUUAAGGCUUGGA